rnacentral:rRNA from 1 species
GGAUAACAGGCUAAUCCCACUAAAGAGUCCUUAUCAACAGCGGGGUUUGGCACCUCGAUGUUGGCUUAGGGGAUCUAUACGACGCAAAAGUCAUAUAAAGAUGGUUUGUUCAACCAAUAAUUCCCUACAUGAGCUGAGUUCAGACCGGCGUAAGCCAGGUUAGUUUCUAUCCUCGAUAAAUCAACCUAUUUACAGUACGAAAGGACCUAAAUAAGAAUAAUAAUUAUGCUUAAAGAGUUCUUAUAACAAUAUUUUAACUUUGUUGCCCAUAUAAUAUG